UACGAAGGGGGCUAGCGUUGCUCGGAAUCACUGGGCGUAAAGGGUGCGUAGGCGGGUCUUUAAAUCAGGGGUGAAAUCCUGGAGCUCAACUCCAGAACUGCCUUUGAUACUGAAGAUCUUGAGUUCGGGAGAGGUGAGUGGAACUGCGAGUGUAGAGGUGAAAUUCGUAGAUAUUCGCAAGAACACCAGUGGCGAAGGCGGCUCACUGGCCCGAUACUGACGCUGAGGAGCGAAAGCGUGGGGAGCGAACAGG
rnacentral:rRNA from 1 species